UACGGGGGGAGCAAGCGUUGUUCGGAUUUACUGGGCGUAAAGGGCUCGUAGGCGGCCAACUAAGUCAGACGUGAAAUCCCUCGGCUUAACCGGGGAACUGCGUCUGAUACUGGAUGGCUUGGAUUUGGGAGAGGGAUGCGGAAUUCCAGGUGUAGCGGUGAAAUGCGUAGAUAUCUGGAGGAACACCGGUGGCGAAGGCGGCAUCCUGGACCAAUACUGACGCUGAGGAGCGAAAGCGAGGGGAGCAAACGGG
rnacentral:rRNA from 1 species